AAGUCGUAACAAGGUUUCCGUAGGUGAACCUGCGGAAGGAUCAUUAACAUUAAGUCGUAGCUCGAAAGGGCUACACUUUCAACCAAACGCGAACUGUUGUUGUUUUUUACGCUCCCUUGCUAUGUGUGAAUGACUUUCUAGGUGGGGUAGACAGUCCUUAAAACCGACUGGGCCUUUAAAGUCGCUUGACACAUGUAGUAGGGUCAAAACUACUCUUUGUGUCUCUCUUAACACCAGAGAUGCAUAACCUUUUUAUUUAACCCCUUAUUUCACCCCAUUACAAGUUUACAUCUGUCUCAUUUCCAUUCGUUGGUCGAAAGACCCGAAUGCCAGAUAUUUAAUGCGAACAACUCUUAGCAAUGGAUAUCUUGGCUCUG
rnacentral:misc_RNA from 1 species